rnacentral:rRNA from 1 species
AAUCAACGCUGGCGGCGUGCCUAACACAUGCAAGUCGAACGGGAAAGUGGAGCAAUCCAUGAGUAUAGUGGCGACCGGGUGAGUAACACGUGACUAACCUACCUUCAAGUGGGGGAGUAACCUCGGGAAACCGGGGCGUAAUACCGCAUAAAAUCUCUGUUAUGAGAAAGCAGGGAUCAAAGGAGCAAUUCGCUGGAAGAGGGGGUCGCGGCUGAUUAGCUAGUUGGUGGGGUAAUGGCCCACCAAGGCUUUGAUCGGUAGCCGGCCUGAGAGGGCGCACGGCCACACUGGAACUGAAACACGGUCCAGACUCCUACGGGAGGCAGCAGUGGGGAAUUUGGACAAUGGCGCAAGCCUGAUCCAGCCAUUCCGCGUGCAGGAUGAAGGCCCUCGGUUGUAAACUGCUUUGUACGGAACGAAAAAGCUCCUUCUAUACAGGGAGUCCAUGACGGUACCGUAAAGAAUAAGCACCGGCUAACUACGU